rnacentral:rRNA from 1 species
CUACGGGGGGCAGCAGUGAGGAAUAUUGCACAAUGGGGGGAACCCUGAUGCAGCAACGCCGCGUGGAGGAUGACGCAUUUCGGUGUGUAAACUCCUUUUAUAUGUCAAGAAAAUGACGGUAGCAUAUGAAAUAGCACCGGCUAACUCCGUGCCAGCAGCCGCGGUAAUACGGAGGGUGCAAGCGUUACUCGGAAUCACUGGGCGUAAAGGACGCGUAGGCGGGUUGGAAAGCCAGGUGUGAAAUCCUACAGCUUAACUGUAGAACUGCACUUGAAACUUCUAAUCUAGAGUAUGGGAGGGGGAGAUGGAAUUAGUGGUGUAGGGGUAAAAUCCGUAGAUAUCACUAGGAAUACCUAAAGCGAAGGCGAUCUCCUGGAACAUUUCUGACGCUAAGGCGUGAAAGCGUGGGGAGCAAACAGGAUUAGAUACCCCCGUAGUC